rnacentral:rRNA from 1 species
GCAAGUCGAGCGGAAACGAGAAUAGCUUGCUAUUCGGCGUCGAGCGGCGGACGGGUGAGUAAUGCUUGGGCAUAUGCCUUUGAGUUGGGGACAACAGUUGGAAACGACUGCUAAUACCGCAUAAUGUCUACGGACCAAAGGGGGGGAUCUUCGGACCUCUCGCGUCAAGAUAUGCCUAGGUGGGAUUAGCUAGUUGGUGAGGUAAUGGCUCACCAAGGCGACGAUCCCUAGCUGGUCUGAGAGGAUGAGC